rnacentral:rRNA from 1 species
CAGUAGCCGCGGGAAUACGUAGGGUGCAAGCGUUAAUCGGAAUUACUGGGCGUAAAGCGUGCGCAGGCGGUUAUAUAAGACAGAUGUGAAAUCCCCGGGCUCAACCUGGGAACUGCAUUUGUGACUGUAUAGCUAGAGUACGGCAGAGGGGGAUGGAAUUCCGCGUGUAGCAGUGAAAUGCGUAGAUAUGCGGAGGAACACCGAUGGCGAAGGCAAUCCCCUGGGCCUGUACUGACGCUCAUGCACGAAAGCGUGGGGAGCAAACAGGAUUAGAGACCCCUGUAGUCCCUGUCUCUUAUAA